CCAACACAACUUAGGUAUGUAAAUCAUCAAUUUUGGAAAUCUGACAGCCACUCUUACUCCAACUUACUCUUUAGCUCCGAUUUUACUAUCAAUCAUUUUAAAUUUCUCCCAAUAUAUUCAAUGAAUCUUUCCAUGCUAAGACUCAUUAACUUUGUUUUCCUAUGGCAGAUGAUUUUGAUGCCUAAAAUAUACAAGCAUCACCCAUACCCUUUUAUUUUAAAACAUCAGUUCAAUAGUUUGUUUUGGCUUCAUUUUCUCCUCCGUCUUUUGUCGAAACCUCUUCCCUCUCUGAGGAACAGAGGCGGACUCCGGCCACCGACAACUUGCAGGAGCGCCGGCAGCGAGGAUGGAGAGCCUCCAAGAGUUGAGGAGAGAUAACUCAACGCGCAAAAUGGAUAAAAAUAGGUGAAAGAGAGAGAGAACAACUAGAGGCUACCGGACUUCCUAUCAGAAAAACUAGAGAUCUAGCUACCAAGAAAAUGCCGCCAGCAGCGACCACCGAUGAGAGAAAGAAGAGCCAACCAGAAGGCGGCUUAAGACACUAGUGCUCGACUGCAAGGAAGACCGCUGCCCAUAAAAAAGCUAACCGAUGCAAGGGUAAUAUUCUUGUUCACCAUCCGUAAAUGUAUAUAUAAAUAGUACACAUCGCUAUUAUGCAUACACAG